GACGAACGCUGGCGGCGUGCUUAACACAUGCAAGUCGAGCGGUAAGGCCCUUUCGGGGGUACACGAGCGGCGAACGGGUGAGUAACACGUGGGUGACCUGCCCUCAGCUCUGGGAUAAGCCUGGGAAACUGGGUCUAAUACUGGAUAUGACUCCACGGUGCAUGUCGGUGGGGUGGAAAGCCUUGUGCGGCUGAGGAUGGGCCCGCGGCCUAUCAGCUUGUUGGUGGGGGAUGGCCUACCAAGGCGACGACGGGUAGCCGGCCUGAGAGGGCGACCGGCCACACUGGGACUGAGAUACGGCCCAGACUCCUACGGGAGGCAGCAGUGGGGAAUCUUGCGCAAUGGGCGAAAGCCUGACGCAGCGACGCCGCGUGAGGGAUGACGGCCUGG
rnacentral:rRNA from 1 species